UAUACCAAAUAAGUGUAAAAUUGAAUCCUAAAGACUAUUUCCAUGAAUAAUCAUAAAGCUUUUGUGGCUUUUAAUAAUUUGAUUCAAUAUAAUGUAAUAUAAUUCUUAACUACAGAAAUUAUCUUUUUAUUAAUAAAGUUUGAUUAAAGAAAUUGUAUUUUCUUGAAGUGAGCCAAGAACAAAAAGGAAAUCACCGUAAUAUUGAUUAAAGCUCGGAGUUCAAAAAAUAUAAAAAAAAAAGACUUGUUCAAUGAUUUCCAAAUAAAG